rnacentral:rRNA from 1 species
UACGGAGGGGGCUAGCGUUGUUCGGAAUUACUGGGCGUAAAGCGCGCGUAGGCGGCUUUGUAAGUUAGAGGUGAAAGCCCGGAGCUCAACUCCGGAAUUGCCUUUAAGACUGCAUCGCUAGAAUCAUGGAGAGGUUAGUGGAAUUCCGAGUGUAGAGGUGAAAUGCGCAGAUAUCAGGAAGAACACCCGUGGCGAAAGCGGCUCUCUGGAACGGUACUGACGCUGAGACGCGAAAGCGUGGGGAGCGAACAGG